rnacentral:rRNA from 1 species
UACAGAGGGUGCAAGCGUUAAUCGGAAUUACUGGGCGUAAAGCGUGCGUAGACGGUUACAUAAGUCGGGUGUGAAAGCCCCGGGCUCAACCUGGGAAUUGCAUUCGAGACUGCGUAGCUAGGGUGCGGAAGAGGGAAGCGGAAUUUCCGGUGUAGCGGUGAAAUGCGUAGAUAUCGGAAGGAACACCAGUGGCGAAAGCGACUACCUGGCCUGUUCUUGACGCUGAGGCGCGAAAGCUAGGGGAGCAAACGGGG